GUGGGGAAUAUUGGACAAUGGGCGCAAGCCUGAUCCAGCCAUGCCGCGUGAGUGAUGAAGGCCCUAGGGUUGUAAAGCUCUUUCACCGGUGAAGAUAAUGACGGUAACCGGAGAAGAAGCCCCGGCUAACUUCGUGCCAGCAGCCGCGGUAAUACGAAGGGGGCUAGCGUUGUUCGGAAUUACUGGGCGUAAAGCGCACGUAGGCGGGUAUUUAAGUCAGGGGUGAAAUCCCGGAGCUCAACUCCGGAACUGCCUUUGAUACUGGGUACCUAGAGUAUGGAAGAGGUAAGUGGAAUUCCGAGUGUAGAGGUGAAAUUCGUAGAUAUUCGGAGGAACACCAGUGGCGAAGGCGGCUUACUGGUCCAUUACUGACGCUGAGGCACGAAAGCGUGGGGAGCAAACAGGAUUAGAAACCCUUGUAGUCC
rnacentral:rRNA from 1 species